UAGUCCACGCCGUAAACGAUGUCAACUAGCCGUUGGAGAACUUGAUUCUUUAGUGGCGCAGCUAACGCGAUAAGUUGACCGCCUGGGGAGUACGGCCGCAAGGUUAAAACUCAAAUGAAUUGACGGGGGCCCGCACAAGCGGUGGAGCAUGUGGUUUAAUUCGAUGCAACGCGAAGAACCUUACCAGGUCUUGACAUCCCGAGAAGUCGCUAGAGAUAGCUUCGUGCCUUCGGGAACUCGGUGACAGGUGCUGCAUGGCUGUCGUCAGCUCGUGUCGUGAGAUGUUGGGUUAAGUCCCGUAACGAGCGCAACCCUUGUCCUUUGUUGCCAGCACGUAAUGGUGGGAACUCAAAGGNGACUGCCGGUGACAAACCGGGNGGAAGGUGGGGACGACGUCAAGUCAUCAUGGCCCUUACAGGCUGGGGCUACACACGUGCUACAAUGGGUGGUGACAGUGGGGCAGGCGAGACCGCGAGGGUCGAGCUAAUCU
rnacentral:rRNA from 1 species